rnacentral:rRNA from 1 species
CAGAGGUCUCGAGCGUUAGGCGGAAUCACUGGGCUUAAAGCGUGUGUAGGUGGAUCGUUAAGUACCUUGUGAAAUCCCACGGCUUAACCGUGGAACUGCUUGGUAUACUGGCGGUCUUGAGCCAGCUAGGGGCUACCGGAACAAAUGGUGGAGCGGUGAAAUGCGUAGAUAUCAUUUGGAACGCCAAUGGUGAAAACAGGUAGCUGGGGCUGUGCUGACACUGAGACACGAAAGCCAGGGGAGCAAACGGGAUUAGAUACCCCGGUAGUCCUGGCCGUAAACGAUGUCGACUAGAUCGUAGUUCCUUCAACGGUAUUACGGUCGAAGCAAAAGUGCUAAGUCGACCGCCUGGGAAGUACGGUCGCAAGGCUA